CAGUCUCCUCAGUUGCUAGGAUUACACUCAGCUGCUGAGAGUUUUUUUUUUUUUUAAUCAGUGUUGGAUUUUGUUAAAUGCUUUCUUUUUCUGCAUCUAUUGAUCUGAUCAUGUAAUUUUUCCUCUUUAGUCUGUUAAUGUGGUGGAUCAUUUUUUUAAAAAAAUUUAGUUGUAAAUGGACACAAUACCUUUAUUUUAUUUAUUUAUGUGGUGCUGAGGAUAGAACCCAGUGCCCCACACAUAUGAGGUAAGUUCUCUCCCACUGAGCCACAACCUUAGCCCUCAUCAAUUCGUUUUUGAAUGUUGAAACAGCCUUGAAUGUCUGGAAUGAAUCCCACUGGGUUAUGCUUUAUAAUUCUCUUUAAAUUGUUGGAUUCUGCUUGAUUAUAUUUUGUUGAGGACUUUGCAUGUAUUCAUGAGUGAUGGUGGUCCAGUUUUCAUGUAAUGUCUUUGACUAGUAUGGGGUAAUACUGGUCUCAUAGAAUAAGUUAGAAAGGAUCCUCAGAACUUCUAUCUUCUGGAAGAGAUUGGAGAAAAUUGGUAUAAUUAUUUCCUUAGUCUGUUUCAAAGAAUUCACCAGUGGAACCCAUUUUAGUAAUGUAGCUGGGUUUUUUGUUUGUUUGUGUUUGGUACCAGGGAUUAAACCCAGGGGCACUUAACCACUGAGCCAUAUCCCCAACCUGCUUUUUAUUUUGAGACAGGGUCUCAGUAGUUGCUCAGGGCCUCUCUAAAUUGCUGAGGCUGACUUUGAAUUUUUAAUCCUCCUGCCUCAGCCUCCGAGCUGCUGGGAUUACGC
rnacentral:lncRNA from 1 species